rnacentral:rRNA from 1 species
AUUGAACGCUGGCGGCAGGCCUAACACAUGCAAGUCGAGCGAGCGGCGGACGGGGGAGUAAUGUAUGGGGACUGCCCGAUAGAGGGGGAUAACUCCAGGAAACGGUAGCUAAUACCGCAUACGACAGGAUAACCCAUAUAGGAUUAGCUCUUAGGUGUGGUAAUGGCUCACCUAGGCGACGAUCCCUAGCUGGUCUGAGAGGAUGAUCAGCCACACGGGGACUGAGACACGGCCCAGCCUCCUGCGGAGGCAGCAGUGGGGAAUAGUGCACGAGGGGCGCGAGCCUGAUGCAGCCAUGCCGCGUGUAUGAAGAAGGCCCUAGGGUUGUAAAGUACUUGCAGUCGGGAGGCGUUGCCGGCAGAAGGAGCACCGGCUAACUCCGUGCCAGCAGCCGCGGUAAUUC